rnacentral:misc_RNA from 1 species
UAUCAAACCACAAAUGAAAUGGAAAUAUAUUUGCAAGAGAUUUAAGUUUUGCCUAUCUCAAAGAAUAAUGUUAUCAAAAUCAAGAAAAAUAAAUUCAAAGAGCAAUAUAUCUCCAACUAACAUUUCCUACAUCUCCUCCUCCCUUUUCAAAAAGAUAAAAUUAUAUAGGACAAACUUAUCACAAUGACUUUGGCCUACCAUUACAGAAACUUGCUUGCGCUUUUCAAAACUAUAAUGAUUUCUAAGUGCUAAAUUUCCAUGCAACAAAGCAACUCCAAAGUUGCAUCCACAGAGGAGAAUAUGAUAUUGUCACUCAUCUGCCCAGCUAUAUAUGAAUAGAGAUAGAUAAUGUCUAAGCAGUUAUCUUCGACUACUAGCCGUUUUGGCCUUGCUUAGAUCCGCAAGCUCUUCAAUUAGCUUUCUUUCUGCGCUGCUCAAUCUUUUUGGAAUUUCAACUUGUACACGAACCAACUGAUCACCCUUCAUGUUGCUUUUGUUUAGCACGGGGACUCCUUUCUUCGACAUCACAAGUGUAGUGUUCGGCUGAGUUCCACUCGGGAUCUUGAGAUCAACCAUACCAUCAACUGUUGGUACCUUAAU